CGGGCGGAUCAGCCAGUGACGGGGUGGUUGGUGUAUUUGUAAUGACACAUUUUGAAAGCACAUGAACAUAGUAACCAAGUUCGAGCUGGAGCUGAAGUGAAACUGGAUACUUUGUUGCCUGCCUGCCUUCCUUCCUUUCUUUCUUUCUGCUCUGUAGGAAAGUAGUUAGGAUAAUGAGAGAGAAGUUUUUUGUUACGCAAGUGUGGUUAUGUAACAACAACAAAAUAACAGUGGUUGAAAGAGAAACGGCGGUGGAAUGAGAAGUUAUCGACGGUGAAGGUGGAAUGUCGCAGAGCUCCGGAGCUCCGCAGCCGCCCCCGGGUCCUCCGCCCUCCUCCUUCUUCACCUCCUCCUCCUCCUCCACCUCCUCCUACUCCUUCUGCUCCUCUCAGCCCGGGCUGGAGGCCUCGGCGGCGGCGGGGGCGGGAUGCAGCACCGUGCUGAUGUCAGUCAAAGUGGCAGCGAGUCACUCCGGGAUCCGGCCGCUGUGUCUCCCCGGCUGCGGGGAUGAAACUCUGCGGCUUCAGCUCAGCAUGGACCCGGGGAAGGCGGGGGAAUUCCGGCUGGCCCUGAGACACAGCAGCGGAACUAACGCGUCCAUUGCUGAGUUUGAUCUCAGGACGGUGCGCUACGAGGUCAAGACACCACGGAGUCACGAGCUGAUCUUGGCCACGUCCCCUCAUGACCGCAUCACCUUCAACUUCCGCAGCGAACAGGAAGCGCAGGCCUGGGCCACUGUGGUGAUGUCAUCACUCCGCGAGGCUCAUCGAGUGGCCAUUGGUUGUCCUGCAGAUGAUGGACAGCUUCUGCCCCAGCCCCUGGUUGUACAAAUGCCCGCCUCACUGUCCAGCACGGAGGAGCUGUGUAUGGAGCUGGUUCGGUCUAUAGAGGCCGGUGAUGUUCAGGCUGCGUCUGUGUGUGCGGAGUCUCUGGCUCGUCAGCACACACCGCUGUGCAUUCAGCCAAAUCACAAACACUACACCAACAAGGAGAUCAGUUUGUCAGUGGUGUUGGAGGAUGCUUCCUCUUCCUGUUGUGUCACUGUUAAAGUCUUCCCCCACACCACGGUGGCUGCUCUUAAACAGCAGGUGUUUGUGCAAUACGGUUUCCAUCCACAUGUCCAGCGCUGGGUCAUCGGUCACUGUCUGUGCGCCGACUCCCGCUCUCUGGCGUCCUAUGGCGUGCAGCAGGACGGAGACACCGCCUUCCUGUACCUGGUGUCCCGACAGAGGCGACAGGACCAGGAGAACUUCCUGCUUGCUCCCACUUCCUCCUCUGGGGACACAUAUUCUAUUGGCAAUGGGCCGGAGGGAACGUUGAAAGCCUACAGUACGCUGCCCACCAGACUGCACCCGCACCACAACAACAGCGGCAGUCGUAGUUUGGCCGGGAUAGAGAGGUUGGGCUUGGGUGAAAUCCGUGACCUGAUUAACCUGGAGAUGCCACAGCUGAACGAAGCCCUCUUGCCCGGCAGAACUAACACACAGCUGGGUUGGGCGUGUCCUUCCUGUACGUACAUUAACAAGCCGACGCGUCCCGGCUGUGAGAUGUGCAGUGCGGACAGACCCGAGAGUUACACAGUGCCUGGAGGCUACAGACCUGACACACUGGAACUGCGACGCAUCCAACAGGAGAAAGAAGCCAUCAGACAGUACCAGCAGGCACAGGAAGCAGAGCGCAGGGAGAACUAUGCUCGGCUGGUGGAGGUGGACGGUCAGGAACUGGUCCCGAACACAGAGAGCAUUGAAUGCAGGAUUUGUUACUUACAGCUUCAGUCAGGAGAGGGAGUCCUGCUGCGUGAAUGUCUCCACUGCUUCUGCAGAGAAUGUUUGCGUUCGGUAAUCCUGCUUUCAGAGGAUCCUCAGGUGGCGUGUCCCUACAGAGACGAGGCAUACGCAUGUGACUGCACACUGCAGGAGAGAGAGAUCCGCGCUCUGGUUUCGGGUGAGGAGUAUGAGCGCUGGCUGCAGCGGGGGCUUUCAGUGGCUGAGUCACGCUGUGAGGGCAGUUAUCACUGUGCCACCACCGACUGUCCAGGCUGGUGUGUGUAUGAGGACACUGUCAACACCUUCCACUGCCCUGUCUGCAGCAAGCACAACUGCCUGCUCUGCAAGGCAAUUCAUGAAGGGAUGAAUUGUAAACAGUACCAGGACGAUCUUGCUGCUCGUGCCAUCAACGACAUUGCAGCCCGGAGAACGAGGGACCUCUUGAAGGUCACACACAACUCUGGUGAAGUCUGGCGAGGCGAUGCACUGUCCUCAGUGUGGAAUCAUCGUGCAGAAGAAGGAAGGCUGUGAUUGGCUGCGCUGCACUGUGUGUCACACAGAGAUCUGCUGGGUCACCAGAGGGCCACGCUGGGGCCCUGGGGGUCCUGGAGACACGAGUGGAGGUUGCCGCUGUAAUGUGAAUAAACAGAGAUGCCACCCAAAAUGUCAGAACUGCCACUGAGAGAGAGAGAGAGCGAGCGAGCACAAGUGUGAGCGAAACCGUCCCCUGGAUGAAAACCAAUAACAAUGAAAAGCCUUAAAAAAAGACUGAAAACAAAAACCAAAGCUGAAUAUCAUUAACUUUCAUGAAUCAUUAUUAAGUUAAUAAUAUUGGACAAAAUGCACUUUUUAUGUCUUACGCCGAGCAUUGAUAUUACACAGGUAAAAAUAUUAAUAUACUGAAGUGCCUUAUUUUAUAAACCCAACUGUUUUUCAGGGUGCUACAUUUUCACAUGGAUUUUUAUAGAUCCAGUAUAAUUCCUGUGUGUUUAACUGUUUUUCUUAACAAAAAAAACUUUACAAUUUUAUUUAAUAUUGAUAAAACACCGUAAACUAUUAUUCUCAGAGUUUUAAUGGUAAUGACAAAGCAUGAAUUUUGGCAAAAUUCCAAAAUUCCACAGCUACAGUGACAGCUACAGUGACAGUUUUACUCUAUUGAGAAUAACUGUUCAGCGCCUUAUGUUGGAGAUUUUGUCUUGAAUGAAAACAUUCUUGUAUGACCUUUUGUAUAAUUUAUUUUACAAUUCAAGCUAUCACUGAUCUGAAAACAAACAAUAAACAUUUCCACAUGAAAAAA